GUUCUGGGUGUGGUCACCGGAGAGUCUGGGAGGCGGGACCCGUCCGUCAAGAUCUACGUCUCCAAUCACAGGACGCGCUUCGAUCACAACGCCAUCGGCCUCAUCGCACCCUGCAGCUCGUCCUCUGUCUCGUGUCCCCCUGGUUUCCUGUGCUGGGCCCGCGGGUUCCUGGAGUUAGGGGCCCCUGGGAGCCGGUCUCAGUUGUUGGAGUCUCUGAAGCACUAUUUGUCCCAGCCGGCGAGUCCUCCACUCCUGCUCUUCCCUGAA